UGGCGACCGGCGCACGGGUGAGUAACACGUAUCCAACCUGCCUCAUACUCGGGGAUAGCCUUUCGAAAGAAAGAUCAAUACCCGAUGUCAUAGUCCUACCGCAUGAUGGGAUUAUUAAAGAAUUUCGGUAUGGGAUGGGGAUGCGUUCCAUUAGUUAGUUGGCGGGGUAACGGCCCACCAAGACAACGAUGGAUAGGGGUUCUGAGAGGAAGGUCCCCCACAUUGGAACUGAGACACGGUCCAAACUCCUACGGAAGGCAGCAG
rnacentral:rRNA from 1 species